rnacentral:lncRNA from 1 species
CUGACAUCACGCGGGGCCGGGAGCACCUGCGCCCCGCCCGGCUCCGCCACCGGCACCGGCACCGCAGCGCACCGGGCCGGGCGGGCACCGGGGCUGGUGCGGGCCGCCCCCGCCGCCCCCCCAGAAAUGGAAACAAACAACCAUUUUAACUUCACUGGCCUUUCCUCUGCACCCGCUGCCUCAGGACCGAAACCCACGCCUGCCUCAGGGGACUCCCCCUUCACCCACAGCUCCCCGCUCAGCUUCCCCCCACAAGGGAAAAGUCUGAACGGGGGCAUGAAUGUCAAUGGCUUCUCUACUGUAUCACACCCCGGUACUUCAGGGACGUUCUCGCCCGGCUCCGCGCCCGCCGGGGCCCAGCCCCUCCGCGCCUACGACUGCCUGUGGGACUACGCGCCCUACGCGCCCGCCGGCGGCCUCAAGGACGGGGGUCCGCCCGCCCUUGGACAGUUCCCCCUCAACGGCGUGGCCGGAGGGUCGCGGCCGGCGUCGCCGGGGCACGGCACCAACCUGCGGGCGGCCGGGCAGGAGUUCUGGGGCAACGGCACCGCCGGGCCCAUGGGGCUGAACUUCGACUCGCAGGAGCUCUACGACUCCUUCCACGACCAGAGCUUCGAGCUGAUGCAGAACGGGCCCGACGGCUUCUACGCGGCGGGUCAGUCCUCGCCCAUCCUGAGCUCGGACGCGCAGCCCUUCCCGCUGGCUCCGGACGAGCCGGACCCCGGCCAGGGAGACGCUGCCGGCGCAGCCAAAGAGAUGCCCACCACCACCACCAGCACCACCACCAUCGCGGAGAACGGGGGUGGGCUGGUGGGCAGCCAGGAGCUGGAGGAGGCACAGCCAGGUAGGAGCCCGGGAGGGCUGGCAGAGCUCUGGGAUGCGGCGCUGGGGCCCUGGAAGGUGGGUGCUGGAUCCUGUUGGGCAUCACAUUCCUUGGGGAAUCCCAGCUGGUCUGCCCAGUGUCCUGGACGGGGUUUGGCCGGUCACAGCUUGGAGAAGGCGUUGGGGUCUCGUACAGCCAGGCUGGGCACGGCCCGGGUGUCAGCCCCCGGUGCCAUGGAUGAGGGCUGGGUGUCCCAGAGCGGGGAAUGGCAGUGGGGAUCCCCCGGCUCUGUCACCAUCACAUCUCACCGUCUGUUUUCGGUCCAUUGUUCCCUUCAGACCUGA